rnacentral:rRNA from 1 species
CGAAUCGCCCUUCGGGGUGCAGCAGGCGCGAAAACUUUACAAUGCUGGCAACAGCGAUAAGGGGACCUUGAGUGCCAGGAUACAAUCCUGGCUGUCGUGAUGCCUAAAAAGCAUUAUAUAGCAAGGGCCGGGCAAGACCGGUGCCAGCCGCCGCGGUAACACCGGCGGCUCGAGUGGUAACCGCUAUUAUUGGGUCUAAAGGGUCUGUAGCCGGCUUGGUUAGUCUCUUGGGAAAUCCGGCAGCUUAACUGUCGGGCUUUCAGGAGAUACUGCCAGGCUCGAGACCGGGAGAGGUGAGAGGUACUUCAUGGGUAGGGGUGAAAUCUUGUAAUCCUCGAAGGACCACCAGUGGCGAAGGCGUCUCACCAGAACGGAUCUGACGGCAAGGGACGAAAGCUAGGGGCACGAACCGGAUUAGAUACCCGGGUAGUCCUAGCCGUAAACGAUACUCGCUAGGUGUCGGCCACGGUGCGACCGUGGUCGGUGCCGUAGGGAAGCCAUGAAGCGAGCCACCUGGGAAGUACGGCCGCAAGGCUGAAACUUAAAGGAAUUGGCGGGGGAGCAC